GGAGGAGAUAGGGAGAAAAAAUCGAGAUUAGAACAAUGGAUUGAUGACGUUUUGUGACGUAUGAUUCGUUUCAGUGCAUAACUUCCGGUUUCUUCCCGAAUCAGUCUCGUGGUGUGGUUGGCAAGUUUAAUACAACAACAUUUUUUCAAAAAAUAUCGAAUACUCUUUCCGUUUUGGGUUGUCGUUUCAAAGUAAGUUAUCCUGAAAUGUUAUAUGUUUAUAUUUAUCUUGAAUUGCUAUAGGUUUUACAGUAAUAUAUAUCGACUGUAUUUACAUAUACAACAUUUCUGUCUACAGUAUUAAAUAUGAAGCAGUUAAUAUAUACAUCGACUGUACUUACAUUUACAACAUUUCUAUCCCUUCUAGGUGUAUAUUUUGGUGUGUGUUCGCGGGGAUCUUUUGGUCAAAUCAAAUCAAAGGGGACCGUUCAUUUUAUAUGUUUCAAAAGCAGUGAAGUGUGAGCUCGCUGUACUUGUAUUCCCAAACUUGCUACUGCGAAGUGUGAUCUCGCUAUAAUAUUUAUAUUUUAUACUAGCGAAGUGUGAUCUCGCUAGCUGGGCAGUCGUUGGCAAUAAUAAAGUUGUUUCGUGUUGUCAAAAGAUCAAGGUAUUGUGUAUCAAAAGUUACAAACAUAUAGGUUGUGUGUCAAUAAGAAAAUUGCCAAUAAAAAUAGUUGAUAUAUAUUACAGUAAAAUGAUUAUGAUAUACAGUAAAGCCCCGCGCAUAAAAGUUCAGUGAAUUUUGACUUGCUUCACACAAUAUUUUUUUAUAUUCUACAUAUUAAAUAGGACCUGUUGUUGCAUAAAACUAUUGCUAUGACACUAAUAUGGUUGUUGUGACAUAUAUCCAAACUUAAAAAGUUUUUAAAAACUUGUAUUUUGGGUGCUUAAUUGCCAAAAUUUCAGACUAGUGGUUCUUAACCUACUGGUGGGGCUUUACUGUAUAUCAAAUAACUUAUGCAUAAUGAAGUCUCAAGGCUUGAUGCCUGCGAGAAAUACUGGUCUUAAUAGUCAUGACCUGGGACAAUUUCGAUAGUGGCCAUUUGCAAUUGUUUCAUUUUCCUGGGCGAUGACUACUAUUAAAUCGAGCAGUGUGAUGCCCACAUUGGAACACACAAUUGUAUAUAAUAAUGCUCACAAUUUCUUUCUUAUUAUAUAUAUAGUCAUUACAAAUAAUGGUCAUCUGAAGCUGAUGUAUUAAACAAAAAUGUCAACAAAAUAGAUUUUGUCUCCUGAUUGGCAGAUUCAUUGUUCAGUUGUUCUACAGUAGGGGUAGCCUUGAAGGUGCCACUAAAAUGAUAUAGUAGUUGGGACAAAACUGACUUCAAAGGGCCUGUUCAUAUGGGCAAAAGUUAUCUCGGUUUAAGGCCCUGUUCACAUGAUCCCGGGAUAAACAACUGCCCUGCGACAAGUCAUUGACCCAGGGUACUGAUAUCUUCUGUUCACAUGAAUAAAGCUAGCGCGCCUAUAAAUACAUUACGCGGGAAUCAUAAAAUAUUCCUGCCAACGGGAAAUGGUGAAAUAUUGCUAAAUAAAAAACAUUCUGAUAAAUGCAAACUUGUCGUCGUUAUUUUUUGUUAUGAUAUUUACAAAUAGAACGUACUAGUUGAUUAUCAGCCGUAAUAAAAUGUGCUCAAUUCAUUGUUUCUGGUUGACCAGAUCAAAUUCUUUGAGUAACAUACUACAUGAUAUUAGCGACAAUUUUAUUUCAAUAUUUUUAGAAUCAUCACUUAUAGAUUUCUAAUGAUAUCGUCAAUCAAAUAACAAGUUUUUGUGGAGUCCAACGUGCUCUAAAUGUAAUUUUAGCCACGAUUUUGAUCGUUUCACCAAAAUUCAAUUAUCCCGGGACAGUGUUCACAUGAGGAAAAGUUGUCCCAGCAAGGCGAGUGUCCCUGUCUAUAGAAGUGAGGCACUCGGGUCAAUUCUUGUCCCAGGACAAGUAAAAUAUCAUGUGAACAGCACUAUUCUUUUACUGAGGAGCCAAGACAAUUUUUGUCCCGUGACAAUUGCUUGCCCCGAGACAUAACGCUGUCCCGGGUUCAUGUGAAGACUAGCCAAAUACUUUUGUUCUGUUCACAUGGAGGAAACUUUACCUCGCUUACCGGGUAAAGUUUCCGGCUGUGACGUAGCGCUGAACAUGAAUUGAAUUGAAAAGUUGCUGACACAACAGAAAGUUAUCCCGCUAAGCGGGAAAGUUGUGUUCAUAUGGGAAAAACACCGAGGUCUCGGUACACGGAAAAAGUUGUUGUCUCAUAUGAACGCAAUGUAACUUUUCAUAUUAUUUUCAUACCAAGGUGAGAUCUCGCUUGAAACUUGUUGAAAAGUUUUCUCGCUAACACAGAUAACUUUUGCCCAUAUGAACAGGCCCUUACUGGUAGUAUUUUUAUGUAUGAAAUUUUAAUUAAAUUCUACAUAUCCAAUGAUUCAUUCAAGUAUUAUUAUUGUUUGUUAUACAUGUUAUUGUACAGUAUUCAGUGGCAAGCUAGCCAUGACAACUGGUCAAGCUAAAAUUGCCAAUAAACCUGCAUCUAUCUGAAUAAUGCAAAUCAUUAAAAAUGUGCAUAGCAUGACCUGUAGACUUUCACAAAGUCCUUCCUCUUUUUAGAACGAAGGAAUUUUCAAGGAAGUAAUUUCUUGAAGAGUAAGGAAUUUGUGGAAGUCAAUAGGAUUUAAUAGAAUCAUAGAGAUUAUAAAUAACACUAGAGGAGGCAUCGCAAUCUUGACAUUAGGCAAAAAAGGAAUCCUGCUAUUGGGGGCAAAUUCCUGCAUGUGUACUUGUGUUCCCAUUGGUGAGAGCAUGAUUUUAUAUCCGGGACCUACAUUUGCCCCCCCCCCCCUAGACGUGUUCCCAAAUUUUUAACCUCAAUGCCUCUUCUAGUGUUAUUUAUAAUCUUUAUGAUUAGAAUAUCUAGCCGACCUUCGACUUUGUGCAAGCUUUUUUCGUAUUCAAACUGCACUUUUCCUACCUCCUGGUGUCUUAGGGGUGCCUUACGUGCUUGUGUGAUGGAAGACGGGUUGAGGCAGCAUUUUCCUUGCGAUAGUAACUUCUAGUAUACUUUAUAUUUACGUCAGUCCGCC
rnacentral:lncRNA from 1 species